rnacentral:rRNA from 1 species
UACGAAGGGGGCUAGCGUUGUUCGGAAUCACUGGGCGUAAAGCGCACGUAGGCGGAUCUUUAAGUCAGGGGUGAAAUCCCGAGGCUCAACCUCGGAACUGCCUUUGAUACUGGGGAUCUCGAGUCCGGGAGAGGUGAGUGGAACUGCGAGUGUAGAGGUGAAAUUCGUAGAUAUUCGCAAGAACACCAGUGGCGAAGGCGGCUCACUGGCCCGGAACUGACGCUGAGGUGCGAAAGCGUGGGGAGCAAACAGGGAU